CGGCGAGAGCCUAGCUGGACGUUAUGGAACGUGGAAGGAUGUUCGCUAGCUGAGCUCACUGCACGCAUAUUCAUGAGUCACAACCGAAGCCGGGUGUUCAAGAGCUUCCGGAGAGAGAGAGAGAGAGAGAGAAAGACAGGCAGCUACUGUAUAUUUCAAAUAGUAGUAAAAGGAAGGUGUCGUCAAUGUAGCGGACAUGCUUCCGGCAAACUGAGGUGACACAGUGACUCCCCACGGCCUGAUAAACUGCAUUCUUGGAAGCCGCCUUGCUGUGAGACUCCCACAAGAAGACGCCUAGUGGACCCUAAACUAAUUAACAUCUACCCUAGAAGUCUGAACUCCCAAGCAUCAAAGGACAGAUGUUCCACCGGACCAUCUGUCUUUGAAUAGGAACAAGUGCUGGGACAAGGCAACACCCGCUGGCGUUGAAAGGAACCGCAACCCAUGAACUCUCAUUUGAUAUUUAACCAAGGAUAAAUGUCUGUUUUGAUAUUUCACAAGCUCUGCAGAAUUAUUCCAAAUGUAUGCCAUGAUGUCUGUGUCAGUGUGUCAACUUUACAAACGCAGCUGCGAGAUUUUGCGAACUGUUUGUCUUGAUUUGACUAUAAGCAGCAUGAAAUGUGAUUUGAAUCAUAAGCAGUAGAUUUGCCAAGACGAAAAUAUAAACAGUCAGUCCGAUAUGCUUGACCUCUGAAUAAAGGGAGUACAAAGUUGAGGGUAUUUAUAUUAAUAUAUGAUUUUUAAACCUAUGUUAUGGGCCAAAAUUCUAAACUAGAUCCAACCUGAUGGGUGUGGUCUUCUCCAGGUUUCUCCAUGCCUCUUCGAAACGCCCCCGGGGUAUUUAACCCCCGACUCCCGCCUUCUCUUGCUCUCGUGUUUUUUCUCUCCUCUGGCUUCUUAGCUCUUAUCUUGCUGGGAUCUCGGCAGCCACGGGCUGGCCUCGGCCACCCCUGCCCUUUCUUAGUUCGGGCACACCACUCAGUAACCGCAAAGGCUGGGUUGAGAAUAGAUUUGGGUUCCCAGCCUAUCCGUGGGCCACCACUAGGCGAUCAGAGCAGCUGCCACUAAGGUACCAGGUACGCUUCCAGCCAAGCGUAAUCGCUCUGAAAUUGCUAGCGGACCUCGAUCCAAGGCGGGGAGAAAGACUGUAAUAUUAUCUUCCCAAGGAGGCGUGACGAACAACCAUUUUUCGUCUUCCGCCUCUUUUUUUUUUCUUUCUACAUCUUUCUCUUCUUCAACGAAACCUGUCUCCGUGGUUCCCGAGACCACUCCCAGAGACCAGCUGAUCUCCGCUCGUGAGUAGACACUGCGAGUGCUUGCCAGACUGUACAAUAUUAGUGCCUAAUAAUUUCAGGGAAAUUACUAGCUCCAGACAAAAUCUCAACUUUGUCCUCUCUCUCUCUCCCGUCCGGAAUGGACGCGUUAAACGCUCGCGUUUUCAACUUUAGUCCAAUACCUUCAUACACCUAUUUUUCUUCUCUUUAUCAUUAUUAGUGUUAUUUUCGUUCUUUACUUAGACCUCUUUGUGUGUUUGCCUCUAGAUCCCUUGUAGAUGUCAUUAAAUAUUCUAUAAAAUUC